UUCUUCUUCUAUUCUUCUUUUUCUUGCCGAGAACAGAGACAGCGAGAGGGAGAGAGUGAGACUGAGAUGAGAGAUCGAGGGAGAGAGUGAGAUUGAGAGAUUAGAGAGAAGAGAAAUAGAGAGAGAGAGAAGCAGAGAUCGGGAGAAAGGGAGAGAUGCCGAGAGGGAGAGAGUGGCGGGGAAGAGAGGACCCGGUGGACCCAGAACCCAGGGAACGCCGGUGACACAACUUCCGGUGAAGCCCGUGACCAGGGAGGAGCCCCGAUCGUGAAGCCGUGAAGUCCGCGGGCCGCAACCAGCUAGACCCGGGAGAGAAACCCCCGACCUGCGAGCCAAACCCGACGGAUCCGGGAGAACCCAUGCGACCCGAACCUCCUGGAGGUUCGAUCCUCCAUGUCCGGCGGCCAGACGCCGAUUUCCGGCGAGCUAAGGCGACUUUCCGGCCGAUCCGUGAAGCCCGAAGCCCCUGACCCGAAAACCCGACUCGGUGACCCGACGACCCGAGAGGAAGACCCGGUUCUUCCUGUGCGUUUUCCGGCGACUUUUCCGGCAAAAUCAGAGGCGAUUUUUGUUUGGGUUCUUGAGAAAACCCCCAAGGUAAAAGCUCGAUCUCGAUGCUAAUGGAAAGUCCAGAUGACAACAGUAAGACGAAGUCUUUUCCUUGUAAGGGCGUAGACCUCGCUGAAAGCGAUAGUUCGUGAUGAACCGGCCAAACCCUAGUUUUGUAUAGUAUGUUUUGUUCUUUUUGGAGUUCAUGACCUUGUAAAUAAUUAUUAAUAGAAAUGUUUAAUAAAAUAGGAGAUUUAAAUU